rnacentral:lncRNA from 1 species
ACGAGGAGAAUGGGUUGGUGCGUGUGCGUUGCGCGGGUUGUUCAAACGUGGAGUGACUGUAAGCCAUCCAUUCACGUGUCGACGCAGCGAGGAGGCGGUGGCUCAGAGGAAGUGGAGAGGCUGAGGAGCAUCAGGGACUGCAGAUAAAUUGGUGGUGCCCAUCCCUACCAGCCCUGAGAUUUAGGCAGCCAGCUGAGGUGCCACAAGAAGUACGCCACCCCCUACUGCCUUGCAAACGGAUGAAUUUUAACGUCUGAGAAGUACAUGGACUGUAUGUGAAGGCAGGGAACCUGCUCUGCUGCUGUCAUCAUCGACCUCUGAUAUCACUUGGAGCAAGACAACCAACGAUAGCAGUGAUCUGACUCUGGAGUGGUAAGAAAGGAGGAGAGGAGGAGAAAAUCUGUAAGUGUUGGGAAGAGGACAAGAGAGGAGUCCCCAAGUUAUCAGGCUGGGAGAGAGCUCACGGCUGCAGGGCUGAGGGCAGCGGCUCAUCACACACUGAGCAACUUUGGGCAAGUCCAGGAGAUGUUUUGAAGAGCAGCUGAAGUCCUGUCCAUAAGGAAAGAUGUGCUUUUCCAUGCUUAAAGAGCAGGUGGGCACAGACAGCGUUGUUUUUUGAAGGCCGUGAUGCUUUUUUCACUCCCAGCUGGGUGUGCCAAGUUUUCCCAGUUUUUGGGCAGCUGGUUGUAUUUUCAGAAGCACCUGCAUAUGGUGAAUUUUUUCUAAUGGGAAGCUGGUAUGUUCUAUAAUAUACCAGAAACCUCAGCGCCCAUCUGUUUAAUAAGACUCUGCACAUGACAGAAAUUGCUGCAGGGUUGUACAUAAGCAUCAGAUGUAGCCAUUUGGUGUGUGGCUGGAGGUAGAAGAACUUUGGAAGUUAAAGGGUUUUUUUUUCCAAGUUUGAUGGCAUUAAAUGUCACUGUUUUCUAUGGAGGUAGACUGUUCUUAUUUAUAAACUUGAAAAAUAAAAGGAAAAGCCAGAUGCUUCUGAACCAUAAAACUGCAGUGGCAGAAGAGGAUCGGGGGAACAAAUGAGGUCCAUCUAUCUGUUAGGGUGGAAGCACUGCUGUCUUGCUUCACUGCCUCAUAAUAUGGAAAUUAUGUUUCUUUUUUAGGACAGAUGAGUCAUUUGACCACUCAGACAACUAUAUGGACACAUCUCUGUCCAUUUAUAUUAUCUUUCUCUUUCUCAUAUGUGCAUGUUUCUUCCUUAUUACCAGCCACUGCUUUCUCCAAAAACAAUAAUCACUGGUUAUUCUCAUUUAUUUGAUAAGGCCAAACAAUUUCAGUGCCCAGAAAGUAAUUAUGAAUUUGGCAGUUCUGAUUAAUAAAUCUUUCAUGAAGCAUGCUCCAUUUUGUCCAUAAACAGCAUCUUCCAGAGAUUCAUUGAGAAAAUAUGAAGAAAUCGAAUAGACAGAAAGAGAAAGAAAGGCAGAGUGAAAAAAUGCAUUCUUCCAGGCAAUAAAGUCCUGCUCUCAGUC